rnacentral:rRNA from 1 species
AAAACGACUCUCGGCAACGGAUAUCUCGGCUCUCGCAUCGAUGAAGAACGUAGCGAAAUGCGAUACUUGGUGUGAAUUGCAGAAUCCCGUGAACCAUCGAGUCUUUGAACGCAAGUUGCGCCCGAAGCCUUUAGGCCGAGGGCACGCCUGUCUGGGCGUCACG